rnacentral:rRNA from 1 species
UACGUAGGGGGCGAGCGUUGUCCGGAUUCAUUGGGCGUAAAGCGCUUUAAGGCGGUUCGGUAAGUCGGGUGUGAAACCUCCAGGCUCAACCUGGAGACGCCACUCGAUACUGCUGUGACUAGAGUUCGGUAGGGGAUCACGGAAUUCCUGGUGUAGCGGUGAAAUGCGCAGAUAUCAGGAGGAACACCGGUGGCGAAGGCGGUGAUCUGGGCCGACACUGACGCAGUAGAGCGAAAGCGUGGGGAGCGAACAGG